UAUACUUUAGUACAUUUAGUACAUAAAAUUUUGAAUUUUAAAAAAAUAGUUCAAAUCUAUUAAGUAUAU
rnacentral:tRNA from 1 species